rnacentral:rRNA from 1 species
AUUGAACGCUGGCGGCAGGCUUAACACAUGCAAGUCGAACGAGUGGCGGACGGGGGAGUAAUGCUUGGGAAUCUAGCUUAUGGAGGGGGAUAACUACGGGAAACUGUAGCUAAUACCGCGUACCAUAGGAUGAGCCCAAGUGGGAUUAGGUAGUUGGUGAGGGAAAGGCUCACCAAGCCGACGAUCUCUAGCUGGUCUGAGAGGAUGAUCAGCGCCACUGGGAGAGAGACGAGGCCCAGGCUCCUACGGGAGGCAGCAGUGGGGAAUAUUGCACAAUGGGCGCAAGCCUGAUGCAGCCAUGCCGCCUGUAUGAAGAAUGCCUUACGGUUGUAAAGUACUUUCAGCGGUGAGGCGUUACCCGCAGAAGAAGCACCGGCUAACUCCGUGCCAGCAGCCGCGGUAAUAC